ensembl:snoRNA SNORD115 Small nucleolar RNA SNORD115
GAGUGCAAUGGUUUUGGUCAUGAGGAGGUUUGAUGACAUAAAAAUUAUGCUCAUAAGUAUUAUGCUGAGGCCC